UUAAAUUGAAGAGUUUGAUCAUGGCUCAGAUUGAACGCUGGCGGCAGGCCUAACACAUGCAAGUCGAACGGUAACAGGAAGCAGCUUGCUGCUUGGCUGACGAGUGGCGGACGGGUG
rnacentral:rRNA from 2 species